AGAGGCUGCUCCUUGCUGUGUACACCAAUCAAGACAAACCUAUCUAUUGAAGGUCAGACUCUGGUCUCUCUUUACCUUCUGUCUCUGUUUGCUCAGAAAUCUAACAUUGAGGCUUCAGUGACUUCAGCUUCUAUCAACUAAAACCCCUGGCUCCAGUCAUACAGCCACAAGAAAAGAACCCAGCUAACAUCUGGAGGCGAGAAUUCUUCUCAGAUGUGUUUCAAUUGAAGAAGCCCUUAAGGACGAUCAGGAGGAGAUUAAUGGUGAUUGCAUCUCCAGAGCCUGUUUGUUCCGUAAUGAACUUGGCACUACCUCAACGGCAGCUAGAUGUCAAGGAACAUGGAAGGGACCGGAGGUGGAAGAAGAGGAAGAGGAGGGCAGCCCUGACAGAGAACACAAGCUUAACCUCAGGGUGAUAGUUGGAAAGCCACUCACUCACAUUGGUAGGCAGAAGAUCUGAGCCUGUUCUGGCCCUUACACUUUAAAUAAUAUGCUGUUUACUAGUGGCAGCUGGGUAUAUCUGCCUAUAUGACAGGUAGGCAUUCAUGUGAAAAUUCCAAGUAACUUUUUGUCCUCUUUGACUUGGUUUAAUAAAAGAUUUUAUUCCACAAGUUGGUAAUGAUCGUUCAUCAAAUUGUCUGUUCUGUACCUCUGACAGAAGAGCCUAUUAGAGAAAUGUGGAAAACAUGUCAACCUCCAAUCCAAACAUUUUAGGACUGAGGGUUUUCAAAGCUAAUUUGUUCCAGACUAGUGAAGUAUAGUGUCAGCCAAACAACUUUUCUUUUCAAGGUGCUUUUCACUAUAAAUAGCAUUUUCCCCCGUAGUUUCCCAUGAGAUGGAUCAAUCUAAUCCUCAGCUCCUGUGUGAGUACAUUUGAGCACAGGAGGCAGGCUAAACUUACACAGAUAAAAAAGGAGCCCCCAGUUGCUUUGUUAAGCAUGUGCCACGCGUGGCAAUUUAGAAGAAAAUGGCUCUCAUAGGGUGUGGCACUAUUU
rnacentral:sRNA from 1 species